rnacentral:lncRNA from 1 species
AUGGCGGCGGCCGCGGAAACAUCGCGCAUUUCGACCUCCCCGUUAAAUCAGUUAAUACGAUCAGUAAAUACCAAUAAAGUCAAUCAUUUGGCAAAACAAUCGAAGAAUAGUGUUCAAGUUAGUCCAGUAGUGAAUAAAAAUUACUGUCCGAAGUGUAAUCUACGCGUAACAAGGGCGAGAACCUCCGCGGGUCCUGGCUGUACUCGAUGUGGCCAGUGGUUCCAUUUUAAGUGUAUCGGGAUGAAACCGAACAGUGCGGAAGCAAAUAACAAAAUCUGGGUCUGCCCCAACUGCAGUGCCAAAGAAAGUUCAGCAGAAAACUCUCCAGUCUGGAAUCCACCUCGAAAAUCUAAGGUAAUUUCUCAAACGGAAUUUGAGGUUAUGUCCAACACAUCAAGUGAUAAGGAGAACCAUUGUAAAUGCUGCGAUAAGUGCAAAGGGAGAAUUAACUUUCUGACCACUAGAGUAAACUGCCUUGAACAAGCUCUCAAGGAACUUAGCUCCUUAGUUAAUACUGUGCAGUGUAAGAUGGACUCCAAAGCUAACAAAGUUUCGGGUGUUACGACAACCACUCUUGCUGCCGCACUUGACAAAGCCAGGGCAUCUACUCUCAACGGUUGUGAAAUCGCGCUAGAACCGAAAAACGUAGCUGUAACCAGUAAACUACCCAGCACUGAGGACACAUCCAAAUCUAAAUCCUCCUCAGCAACACGGUCAUCCGUCACUGCUGGAAUCUCCCACCAAAAAGUUAGUAACUGCGUCAGCUCAAACAAGGUGAGUACACAAGGCUCAAACUCAUCUAAGAAUAGCGCUCGAAUAUCCAGUAUAAACCAUCCCAGUUCGUCUGGCAGGUCUUUGAAAAACGACAGUGCAACCUCUAGCCCCACCUCGAAACCGGCUCAAACUAGAAAUGAUCCAUUGCCAUUGACAUCAAACGCACGUCCCAGAGCAGAGAUGGACACCCCCGUUGCCAGCCUUUCAACUAGAAGAAGCCCCCCUCCAUCAUCAGCAUCCAGUCAAGGCGAAACCAGGAACAUUUCACCACAGACCUAUUCCAGUCAGUGUUCAAUCUCUAGCAUCGAAAGGAAUGAACAUUUGGGAAAUGCACCAAAGAACGUACGGAAUCUUCAUCUGGACCUUUUCGCGGAAAAUCACGGACGGGGAAUAGGAAGCUUAGUUAAGGACAGUCUAAAUGUCAGCAUCACCGAAGCAAUCAAACCCGGCAUGACCUUCAAUCAGGUUAUUAUUGAUAUAGAGAAAAGUAAGUCCAAUAAUGUUGUAAUCUGGGCAGGAGCGAAUGACAUUUUCAGAAACAGGGCAUUGUACUUUGUGAGAUCGCUCUUUGAACUCUUAGCAAGCUCAGAAAAGAUAGUGUACCUAGUGAAUAUUCCAAGGAGAUUUGACUUGGCGAGUUAUCACUGGGUCAACUCUCUAAUUUUGACACUGACAAAACUCUAUAUGAAUUAG